rnacentral:piRNA from 1 species
UCACUUAAUAGAUUGCCUGCUGCAAAGUGU